rnacentral:rRNA from 1 species
AGAUGGGAGCUUGCUCCCUGAUGUUAGCGGCGGACGGGUGAGUAACACGUGGGUAACCUGCCUGUAAGACUGGGAUAACUCCGGGAAACCGGGGCUAAUACCGGAUGCUUGAUUGAACCGCAUGGUUCAAUUAUAAAAGGUGGCUUUUAG